rnacentral:rRNA from 1 species
GCCUAGCGAUAAUAAAGUUAGUGGCGGACGGGUGAGUAACGCGUGAAUAACCUGCCUUAUACGUGGGGGGAACAACAGUUAGGAAACGACUGCUAAUACCGCAUAAGCGCACUAAAGCUGCAUGGCUCAGUGUAGAAAAACUCCGGUGGUAUAAGAUGGAUUCGCGUCUGAUUAGCUAGUUGGUGAGGUAACGGCUCACCAAGGCGACGAUCAGUAGCCGGUCUGAGAGGAUGAACGGCCACAUUGGGACUGAGAUACGGCCCAGACUCCUACGGGAGGCAGCAGUGGGGAAUAUUGGGCAAUGGGGGAAACCCUGACCCAGCAACGCCGCGUGAUUGAUGAAGCCCUUCGGGGUGUAAAGAUCUGUCAGUAGGGACGAACAAAUGACGGUACCUACAGAGGAAGCAUCGGCUAACUCCGUG